CAGGCUUUGGGGAUGAGUCUCCACACCAGGGAGGGCAGGAGGUGAACCUCGUGAACCAAUGCCUGCAGACGGGGUUUGCAGAGAAAGAGGUCCUGCAGGCCUUGUGUGACAGCCACGGAGCUGCAGCGAGGCUGCAUCAGUGUA